rnacentral:rRNA from 1 species
UGGGGAAUCUUCCGCAAUGGACGAAAGUCUGACGGAGCAACGCCGCGUGAGUGAUGACGGCCUUCGGGUUGUAAAGCUCUGUUAAUCGGGACGAAUGGUUCUUGUGCGAAUAGUGCGAGGAUUUGACGGUACCGGAAUAGAAAGCCACGGCUAACUACGUGCCAGCAGCCGCGGUAAUACGUAGGUGGCAAGCGUUGUCCGGAAUUAUUGGGCGUAAAGCGCGCGCAGGCGGAUUGGUCAGUCUGUCUUAAAAGUUCGGGGCUUAACCCCGUGAUGGGAUGGAAACUGCCAAUCUAGAGUAUCGGAGAGGAAAGUGGAAUACCUAGUGUAGCGGUGAAAUGCGUAGAUAUUAGGAAGAACACCAGUGGCGAAGGCGACUUUCUGGACGAAAACUGACGCUGAGGCGCGAAAGCCAGGGGAGCGAACGGG